rnacentral:rRNA from 1 species
CUACGGGGGGCUGCAGUGAGGAAUCUUGGACAAUGGGCGAAAGCCUGAUCCAGCGACGCCGCGUGGGUGACGAAGGCCUUCGGGUUGUAAAGCCCUGUCAGAGGGGAAGAAGUUCUGACGGUACCCUCAGAGGAAGCACAGGCUAACUCCGUGCCAGCAGCCGCGGUAAUACGGAGUGUGCAAGCGUUGCUCGGAAUCACUGGGCGUAAAGGGCGCGUAGGCGGCUUGGUAAGUUGGAUGUGAAAGCCCUCGGCUCAACCGAGGAACUGCAUCCAAAACUGCCUGGCUAGAGUACGGAAGAGGAAGGCGGAAUUCCCAGUGUAGGGGUGAAAUCCGUAGAUAUUGGGAAGAACACCAGUGGCGAAGGCGGCCUUCUGGGACGAUACUGACGCUGAGGCGCGAAAGCGUGGGGAGCAAACAGGAUUAGAUACCCUCGUAGUC